ensembl:lncRNA
GUGAGAGAGAGGAAGAGAGAGAGAAAGCGGCAAGCAGAAAGCUCAUAGCUAAGGAGCGAGAGCAGCAUCAGAAGAAGAGGAUCGCUUUAAAAAGGACAAAAUAAGGAAAAAACAAAAAAGGAAACUCACCAGUCCUGCUGAUGGUCAUACGUCAACUUUAAGUGGCUAAAAUCUCAGUGAGUAGGAGAGAGAGAGAAAAGCGAGCCUCCAGGACAUAUUCAUUUGACCUCCAGCGUCCAAAUCCUGUUGGUCAUCUCAACCAGCCCACUGGCACCUUUGAGCCAGUCUACCUGGAUGAUCUGGAGCGACCGGUACCUAAAGAUAUUGAAGCCACCGAUGACCUUUCACCUCCACCGGUCGCUAAUGGCACGAGUCUACAGUCGGAGGAAAAGGACUCCACUGGAGAGAACGCUCCUGAGGAACAGCCAGAAGCAAAUGGUGUGGAGACUUCACCCGCUGAAAACACCACUCCCUCACUGAGUAGCGAUGAAGCUGACAAGAUAUCCAACCCACCGAGCAGUACCAGCCUUUUCUUUGAUGCUAUUGGGGAGCAGCAGAAUGAAAACAACAACAACCCAACAGUUUGCUCCAGUGACCCAUUUGUUGAAAUAAACCUGGACGAGCCGGCAUGGUGUGAUCAGCUCCUCAAUUCUUCUGAAGGUUCUUCCUCGGUCUUCCCCUUCUCUCCAUUCUCUUUAUCCUCCUCUUCCUCUUAGCACUUUGAAUGUUAUCCUCUUCCAUCAACAUAUAGGCAGAGAUUGUCUUUCGUAGCACAUGGACAUGAGCACAACAUGUGUUUUUUUUCCCAAAGCUAGUAUGGAUUGUGAAGUGAACAACCAAGGAAUUAACAUCAACCUGUAAACAUGAAGCUAGCUUUAACUGAUUUCUUAUUGUGUUUUUAUAUGUUUUUGUUCAAAUUUAUUGGUCUCAUUUAGUAUUUUUUCUAAGACUAUAUGAAGGACUUUAAACUGAUUUUAAUUGAAUUGUUUGAAACUGAGCAAUUUGGGAAGCUCAAAGAGGCAGUCCAAAAUUGCAUCGAAGAAAAAGAAGGAUUGAAGAAAUGUUAAUCACAACUUUUCCUGCAUUUAACUGACUUAUUAUUAUUGUUGCCUAACCACACUGCAAACUUCAUACCAAAGGAAGUAAAAUAAGCAAGGUAGCUUAUUUGUGACAUCUAGACUAAGCAAUAACGCCUGAACUUUUUUUUUUUUUCCAAAUGUCAUCACUUCAUGAGCGUAUAGAUUGGCUGCAGUUCCUCUCAGAUCUAACAUCCUUUGAAGUAGGCUAAAGUUUUCUCAGAAGAGAUGUUUGGUUUUAAGUCAGAUUAUUUUUGGGGAAAUUAGUGUGUACAAAGUACUCAUAUAGGAAACAGUUGAUUAACUUUUUGUACAGUUUAAUAUUGCAAUAAUAAGUUAUGGUUGUAAUCCCAAGACGCAAAUGGACAUACACAAGAAUGAUGCUUCAUUUGGGAACCACAUCUCAUUACCAAUAAACAUAAAACUAGCUUUAACGCUUCCUUAUGAUUUUUUUGUUUGUUUUAUACAUUAUCAGCACAUCAAACUUAAAUCAAAUGAGUUUUUUCCUAAAAUGUAGCAUUUUUCUACUUCAUUUUAUUUACUAAAGCAUCAUAAAACAAGAUUAAAGUUAACUUUAGCAGUGACAACUGUUACUCUCAAAUUAUCGAUGUAGGCUAGUUUCCCCUAAACCUACAGGGAGAUUUGUGAAAUCUCUGAACUAUAAAAAUACACUCUGUGUCAUAAUUGCUGUAAAUAUUUUUGUACACGAUAUAUUUUUUUUAGUAGAAUACUGUGAAUUAUUCACAUUUAUUCAAGUUCUAUAUUUUAAUUUUGUGACUCUGGAGGUUUCCAUUCUACUAGAUGUUUAAAUGCUUUCGUUUCUUUUAACCUACAUUUAUUUUGUCAUUUUUUUAAUAAACUGGUUUCUUUUCAGAAGCUAACUAAAUAUACAUUUCACCACUGCCAUUUUCCUCAAAGUGCUAAUUCAAACUGAUAUAUAAAUAUAUAAUUUUCUGACUAAUGUUAAAAAAAACAAACAUUGAGAAGUGUUACUUUGUUUCAUGUUAAAAAUCAAAUUGAUUCAAAUAAAACUAUUUUUUUUUCAGAAUUUCACUGUUAUCCCUUCUUCAUUCUUUUUAUUAUCCUGAUGGUUAAAAUGUCUCUCACUUAACUAAUUUUUGGGUUUAAUUCCAUUUGCUGCCUUACUCACACCAAACCUUUUCAGAAAGUCAUCUGUAUAUUCUUUGGUCCAUAUCAAAACUAUAAAACAAUUUUGACUACCUGU